CUACUUCCUUAUUUCAUUUCACUUACUUCUUUAUUUCAUUAUUUUCUUCUUUAUUACUUGUACAGUAACUUAGUCACGUUUUCUGUGCAAUUUUGUUGGCAGUCGAGCUAAUUUUUUUAGGAACGUUUCUUUCUUUGCAGUUAGUCUCAGAAUACAAAGCAAGGAACAACAUUAUACGAGGAUCUGAGAGUCAGUGCCUCAAAUGUCUACAUUCCUGCCUUAUUACAAAUUAUUUAAUGUUUUUCACUCUGAAAUGAGAACUGCGAGGUUCAACACGACUAUUACCAAGGCCCGCCAUUGUCCUCAAACCCCAGAGUUCCACCACAUCCAAGUCUCACAUUUUAUUCACUAUUAUCCAUAUUAAAGUUAGCUUCCAAUAUGUUUCCCGUUAUUAAAAUUGGCCACUUUCCAGCAGAUUUCCCUACGAAAAUUUUGCAAGAAUUUCUUGUCCCCCAUUCCUGAGGUCCAGCCACCUGCAACUUCAUAUAAUUUAUGUUUAAUGUCUCUACAAGUUUUCAGGUUGAGAAAUCAGUGACAGUAACCUAAGAGCAUAGCAAAAGACUACAACCUGAAAUAAACCAGGUCACCUGGAACUGUCAUAAUUAUUAAAUUAAUAUUUAAACAUUAAAUCCUACUCUUAUGAUAUCCGUUUCACAGAGAAAUUGUUAUAGGGUGUGGACAUUGGUGAUUUCGAAACACUUGUACAUUACCAUCAAACCGACAAGAAUAGUCAGUGAGGUUAGACACAAAAACGAUAGUUUGGACACUCCUCUGUUCUAGUCUCAAUUCAUGGAAGGGAUAUGAACUCGUGACCAGCCGUACUUGACCCCAUAACGCUUACCACCCCUAUGGGUUUGAAGUAUAAAAGAGCGGUACGCCACAGCAUCAACAUCUUCACACGGACAGUGUGUGCCACACCUCAACAUGUACAAGCUGAUUCUCCUGCCUCUCUUCUUCGCCGCCGUUUCGGCUGGCUACCUGGGCGCUCCUGUUGUCGCUACAUACGCUGCCGCCCCCGCUCUAGCUGUCGCCCCCGCCCCCGUGGCCACGUCUUACGCCAACACAUACAAAGUGUCUUUCAAGGCUUCCAGUGGUCGCUGCUGCCGCCCCCCUGGCUUACGCCGCCCCUCUGGCUUACACCGCCCCUGCGGUCGCCGCACCCAUCGCCUACGGUGUUCCUACUUUAGUUCAUUAAAUGAAAAGUUACUGUAUUUAUGUCACCGUGUGACGAUGUUAAUCGAAAUACUUAAAUAAACAACAUAAGUAAUUGA